GUCCCCUUCGUCUAGAGGCCCAGGUCACCGCCCUUUCUCGGCGGUAACAGGGGUUCGAAUCCCCUAGGGGACGCCA
rnacentral:tRNA from 1 species